rnacentral:rRNA from 1 species
AGCGAACGCUGGCGGCAGGCCUAACACAUGCAAGUCGAACGAACUCUUCGGAGUUUGGGGCGGACGGGUGAGUAACACGGGGGAACGAGCCCUUUGGUUCCGAAUAACUCAGGGAAACUUGUGCUCAUACCGCAUGUGCCCUUCGGGGGUAAGAUUUAUCGCCAUUUGAGCGGCCCGCGUCUGAUUAGCUAGUUGGUGAGGUAACGGCUCACCAAGGCGACGAUCAGUAGCUGGUCUGAGAGGAUGACCAGCCACACUGGGACUGAGACACGGCCCAGACUCCUACGGGAGGCAGCAGUGGGGAAUCUUGCGCAAUGGGCGAAAGCCUGACGCAGCCAUGCCGCGUGAAUGAUGAAGGUCUUAGGAUUGUAAAAUUCUUUCACCGGGGACGAUAAUGACGGUACCCGGAGAAGAAGCCCCGGCUAACUUCGUG